ensembl:lncRNA
ACGAGAUGGCAAAACAAUCAGGAUUCCAGACUAAUGGAACAGGAAGACAUUUAUUAUGGACAACUUUGUCUAUAAUUCAUACAUGAAAGACCUGACCAGCACCUGUCAUGCAAAACACCACAAGCUUCACGGCAGUGGGAAAGACAGCAGCAGAGUAUCUGGGAGCUGUCGUGGACACCUCUACCUCUGCGUUUCUGCUGGUGUGAAUGUAGCAAGAUUCCUGCAGCUGACCGCAGCUCUUCCGAUGACAGGUUGGAUUCAAACAAAGCUGCAUGUCUCAGCACUGACUUUUACAAGGAUCUACAAUUACUUCUGUGGCAUGUUUAAGAAUAUGGACCAAAUGCUUAGAAGGUCACACCUGGGAGAGCUGCAGCCUGCCCUGGGCUAUGAGAGGCUGUUGACAGCUUGAUUGGAGCUAUCUGUGGUGAGGACUGGAUCUGGUGGAGGGUGUUAAAGGCAAUGGGUGAUGCAGAAACCUGUCAGCAGUACAGAGGUUUGUGUCUUUAUAUUAGUCACUAUUAAGGCAUCAUUACAUUUUUGCACAGUUAAAUCACACAAAUUAUUUGUUUGUUUAUUUUUUCCUUCGCAAAAUAUCAAAGCAGUACAUUUCCUUUUAACCAAGUGGUCUCAAGUUCAUUUUAAGGGAUGUUGUCAGUCAGUUCCUCUUAUAUUCAUGCUGGUGAAAUCCAAAGAUAUUUAUAUAUAAUUAAGUAUAAUGUUUAUAUAAUAAUACUAUACUAAUAGUAAUUUAUAUUAUAAAUCUUAAUAUCUGUUCAUAAACUAUUUAUAUAAUGUCUGAUUGCAAGUUAUUUUAGUUUAUAAUUUUAUUACAUAACAUGUACCUUUAUGUAUUUAUUUUUGGUCUUGAUGGCUGUUCUCAAAAAUUUCUUGGUUAUGCAUACAAGCAUUAUUAUUGUUAAAUGCAAAUACAUUUUUAUUUUUGAGUAUAUAUGAUAAUUCUUUGAGUAAAUGAAUGAAUGAAUUUGUACUGUAAUGUUGCAGUAAUGGUAUAUGUGAAAGGUCACAAGCUGCCCUCUUCCACAAUGCCAUCUUGAUAUUUCUAAGGUUUUAUAACAUGUUAGUUAAAUUGGACAUACAACAAACAAACAAUGUGCAGAAUAGGGUUACGAGCUGCGGCAGCAGUGGUAGGGGUGACGCUCGGCUCGCGGUAACCUCCCAGUGGCAGCGGCCCUGCCGGCCCUCCCUGUGUUCCUGGCCGUCUCUCACAUGGUGAUUGGGUUUCAGCGCAGGGCUCAGAGCUGUGGGAACGAGUCAUCACACUGGCGGCCUGCCUGGGAGACUGUGCUAUACUCCACCAGGGGGAAGGCAAUUGACAAGUGGGGUUUUGUAAGCCCAGACAAUGUGCCAUCUUCACUGUUUAACCCAGGAAAUCCACUACAGCUGGAGCCUCCAAAUAAAUGAGAAACCCAUGUGUGAAAGUGUGUCUGU